rnacentral:lncRNA from 1 species
CCAAAGCCUGAGGAACCAAGGGGACUCUGCAUUAGCAGCAAGGGUGGAAAACUGGAGACGAGUCAUUGCUUCUGCCUCGGUGGGAGGAGGAUCUUCUUCGUCUGAGUCCUGGAUAUCCAGCUGAUGGUAGUGGACUACAACUGGCUUACUUAAAGCAGCUUCAAUCGUCUUGUUCACCACCCAGAGUAUCCAUUUUUGGAGGAAUAUUAACAUGGGGACCUAAUCAUGACUUCUGCCUGAUGUCCCUGUGUGUGGACAGUGAUGCUGGUGAUAUGACCAAAAUGCUGUUGGAUGGAUUUGUCAUUUCUGAUCAAU